UUGGAAAUCCUUGCGGUGUUUUUGAAUGGACUAUUUUACUUCCACACUGUACGUAGCUGAUGAGCCCGUGGGUUUGAGUUUGCCCAGUACUGCAGAUUCUCAAAAAUAAAACGAGGGGGAAUUUGACCAAUGAGGAAUGAGCUUAGCAAUUUUUAUCCCGGUAUUUUAUUUUUUUUAUCCUUUCAAUUUUUAAUAAUUCCCAAAUACCCUUAUAUCCAAAUUAAAUAUUUUCUUUUUUUUUUUUUCUAUUUUUUCUUUUUUUUCUUCAUCCGACUUUUCUCUUUUCCUUCAUCAUCCUUUCCCCAAAGCUGGCUCAUCUCUUUUGCUAAACAUCCCCGUUUCAUCUCUCUGAUAACCAAGUAUUCAAGGUCUAAAAUGUACCACAAGAGAGGACUUUGGGAUAUCAAGGCCAAAAAAGACGGUGUUUUCCCUCACCACGAUCUGAAGCCUGCCGCAGAGAUCCCACCUCAGAAACCUCCCAAGUUCUACCCCAUUGAUGACGUCAAGAAACUGCUUGUCAACAAGCGCAAGCACAAGCCCACCAAGCUCGGGUUCAAUUCCGAAAAGGAUGAGUAUUACAUCGCGGACGGUGUUGAUUGUGUUGGCUAGGAGAUUUAAAGGGAAGAGAGUUGUAUUCCUGAAGCAACUUUCAUCCGGCUUGCUUUUGGUGGGCAAGACCGAUCCAUACGUUAUUUUAAGCCUAGGGGUCCAAGUCAUACGCAGCAAAAAGAACAACGAAACCAUAGUCAUUGGACCUCCUGGUGAACCAAUUUGGAAUCAGGAUACAAGCAACUAUAGAACAUUGUCUGGACAUAUGCAUCUUCUAUCAAGUCAUAUAAGAUAUUUGGUGAUGUAGUGGUGUUUGAUACCACUCAUUGCUUGACUGCAUUUGAUAUGCCACUUGGGAUAUGGGUUGGAAUGAAUAAUUAUGGUAUGCCUUGCUUCUUUGGUUGCUUGCUUCAACGAGAAGAAAAUCUAAGGUCUUUUUGAUGGGCAUUGAAGAAUUAUGAGAACAACAGAGUUGGCUGCUGCGGAGGAGAAGCUACAUGAGCUUGAGAGACAAAAGGAAGAAAUGUUGAGGUUCGGUUCCCCUGCUUCCCUUCUCCAAAGGCUUCAAGACAUUAUUGAAGAAUUAAUCAACAAAGGGUAUGAACGUCGAAAUAACGCAGCUGCAAUGAAAAUUCCUAUUACUAAUUGAUUGGAAAAUAUCAUGCAACAGCGCUCAAAUAAUGGCAGAGGCUUAUGUGUUAUUCCAUUGAACUUAUAUGAGUUUCAAAUUGUUGGCUAUGGCACGUUCGUUGGAGUAGUCAACUUAGAAAAUAAAACGUGCUCAUGCAAGGAAUUCGACAUUGAUGGAUUUCCUUGUGUCCAUGUCAUUGCAGCAUGUAAGCAUUGACAUAUUUCUCCAUAUAUCCUUCAUUCAGCGCAUUACUCAUUUGAUUCAUUUCGUGAUGCAUAUUCAAAAACCAUAUAUCCACUAGGAGAUAAAUGUCAGUGGCAUGCUCGAGAUGAUGUCAUAAACCAGCUUGUACUUCCACUUAAGAUUGGCAAACAGUCAGGAAGACCAAGAAGAAGAGGAUUCAAUCUCAAGGAGAGGAGCGUCUUCAAUAUAGAUGCGGGAGAUGCAAACAGAUUGGUCACAGCAGCCGAUGCUCAGCUGCCGUACCUCUUGAUAGCACUACCAAGCAACAGCACCAUUCAACCGAUGGACCAUAAAUUGCUCUACGCUAUAAUAAGACAAUGGGGGCAUGUUAUACAAUAUGCGUGUGUUAUGCAAUGUAGUAAGGAAUGCAAUUAGUAGCUCAACCGCUAACAUGUGUUUUGGCAUAAUAGACGUUGGUUUUAUGUGUUAUUAUGUUGGCAAAGUCAUCUGUCGUAUUAUGUUUUUAAAA